UACGUAGGUGGCAAGCGUUGUCCGGAUUUACUGGGCGUAAAGCGUGCGUAGUCGGUUAUUUAAGUCGGAUGUGAAAUCCCCGGGCUCAACCUGGGAAUUGCAUUCGAUACUGGAUAGCUAGAGUUCGGCAGAGGGAAGCGGAAUUUCUGGUGUAGCGGUGAAAUGCGUAGAUAUCAGAAGGAACAUCAGUGGCGAAAGCGGCUUCCUGGACCAGAACUGACGAUCAGGCACGAAAGCGUGGGGAGCAAACAGG
rnacentral:rRNA from 1 species